rnacentral:rRNA from 41 species
AGAGUUUGAUCAUGGCUCAGAUUGAACGCUGGCGGCAGGCCUAACACAUGCAAGUCGAACGGUAACAGGAAGCAGCUUGCUGCUUUGCUGACGAGUGGCGGACGGGUGAGUAAUGUCUGGGAAACUGCCCGAUGGAGGGGGAUAACUACUGGAAACGGUAGCUAAUACCGCAUAACGUCGCAAGACCAAAGAGGGGGACCUUAGGGCCUCUUGCCAUCGGAUGUGCCCAGAUGGGAUUAGCUAGUAGGUGGGGUAACGGCUCACCUAGGCGACGAUCCCUAGCUGGUCUGAGAGGAUGACCAGCCACACUGGAACUGAGACACGGUCCAGACUCCUACGGGAGGCAGCAGUGGGGAAUAUUGCACAAUGGGCGCAAGCCUGAUGCAGCCAUGCCGCGUGUAUGAAGAAGGCCUUCGGGUUGUAAAGUACUUUCAGCGGGGAGGAAGGGAGUAAAGUUAAUACCUUUGCUCAUUGACGUUACCCGCAGAAGAAGCACCGGCUAACUCCGUGCCAGCAGCCGCGGUAAUACGGAGGGUGCAAGCGUUAAUCGGAAUUACUGGGCGUAAAGCGCACGCAGGCGGUUUGUUAAGUCAGAUGUGAAAUCCCCGGGCUCAACCUGGGAACUGCAUCUGAUACUGGCAAGCUUGAGUCUCGUAGAGGGGGGUAGAAUUCCAGGUGUAGCGGUGAAAUGCGUAGAGAUCUGGAGGAAUACCGGUGGCGAAGGCGGCCCCCUGGACGAAGACUGACGCUCAGGUGCGAAAGCGUGGGGAGCAAACAGGAUUAGAUACCCUGGUAGUCCACGCCGUAAACGAUGUCGACUUGGAGGUUGUGCCCUUGAGGCGUGGCUUCCGGAGCUAACGCGUUAAGUCGACCGCCUGGGGAGUACGGCCGCAAGGUUAAAACUCAAAUGAAUUGACGGGGGCCCGCACAAGCGGUGGAGCAUGUGGUUUAAUUCGAUGCAACGCGAAGAACCUUACCUGGUCUUGACAUCCACGGAAGUUUUCAGAGAUGAGAAUGUGCCUUCGGGAACCGUGAGACAGGUGCUGCAUGGCUGUCGUCAGCUCGUGUUGUGAAAUGUUGGGUUAAGUCCCGCAACGAGCGCAACCCUUAUCCUUUGUUGCCAGCGGUCCGGCCGGGAACUCAAAGGAGACUGCCAGUGAUAAACUGGAGGAAGGUGGGGAUGACGUCAAGUCAUCAUGGCCCUUACGACCAGGGCUACACACGUGCUACAAUGGCGCAUACAAAGAGAAGCGACCUCGCGAGAGCAAGCGGACCUCAUAAAGUGCGUCGUAGUCCGGAUUGGAGUCUGCAACUCGACUCCAUGAAGUCGGAAUCGCUAGUAAUCGUGGAUCAGAAUGCCACGGUGAAUACGUUCCCGGGCCUUGUACACACCGCCCGUCACACCAUGGGAGUGGGUUGCAAAAGAAGUAGGUAGCUUAACCUUCGGGAGGGCGCUUACCACUUUGUGAUUCAUGACUGGGGUGAAGUCGUAACAAGGUAACCGUAGGGGAACCUGCGGUUGGAUCACCU